rnacentral:tRNA from 1 species
UAGCUUAGUUGGUAGAGCGUCUGCCUUGUAAGCGCUAGGCCGCGGGUUCGAUUCCCGC